CAAGCUUCAGAAGGUCCACUCUCUAGCGCAAUAAAUCUGGAUUGUUUGCUUACCGUACUUUAACCUAUCCUCACUUGGUUCUGGUUAUAGUUUUUUUCCUUUCCUUCCAGUUGUUCCAAUGGGAUGUACUUAGAAGGAUCGAGAGUACAGUGUCACAUGCUGGAAGCAAGUCAUUUGGUAAGAACUGAUUCUUAUUAAGCUCGAUUAAUAUAUAUCAAGUUUAGAAGAAUUUAACUUACAUUCAUCUUAUGAUUGUGUCUGCAAGUUUGAUUCUUUAAUUAAUCUAACUAAUGGCAAGAGAAAGUGAUGUGUGCUAGAGGUGAACGGUUUAACGUCUGCUAUUGCCUAUUGACCACUUCAGUUAACAUAGUGUUGCCUGAAAUAAUUAGAAAACAUUCAGCUGUUUGUAACAUGAGUAGAAUGUGGACUGCUAGGAACUGUGAAUUAAACAGAUCAUGGAGAAUGGAUGGCAUUUUCAUGUAACAGGACUGAGUAUCAGUUUUAGCUUGAAAGUAUAUGCCAACUCUGUAGGUUCAAAUGACUUUAAGUAAUAAUAUGAGGAGCGAGCAUAGGAGGAGCUAUAACAUAUGAGCAUGAGGGAGGAUCAAAUGAUUAUAGUGUCUAUCAGCAUGGGUAAAAGAAAACUGACAACAACGCCACCACGUGCAAAAAUUAUAUUUGAUUGAUAUCACAACAAUAGAAUGUUGAAUAACAAUGUAACAUUAUCUUUUCAUUAGUUAAUCCAUUUGACUUCUGUCUGAUACAAUUGGCAUGAUAUUUGGACAGGAAAGUUAUUUGUUAACUUUGUAUCAUUUUUGUGUAAGCUAAUAAAUAAAUGCACUGUGCAUUUGCCUGCAAUUUCCAAGAAGUUUUCCCUAAUUUUGAAGUAAUUGUUUUCUAAAGAAUAAAUGCUGGGAAAAAGGGUCAUUGCAGUAAUUUUUUCCUGAAGUUUUGUCAUCUUGUAAAAUGAUAUGAAUAGAGGGUUCCCCGUUAAAAAAUAGAAUAGGCGCAGUCAAUAGCUGAAGUGGAAGCAUAUAACUGCCAAUUCAAAUUGUUUUCAUUCAGUAUGAUUGUCAUUGAGGAAAUAAACGAGACUAGGAAGUGCCUUCUCCAAUGAAUUCACAUACUUAUGGAUCUUUCUCGCCAAUUAGCAGUGUUUCAAUUAAGUAGGAUUGUUGUCAUGAUAUAUGAAUAUUUUUUUAACAUGUGUAAGGAGGGUAAUGCACGGAUUCCACUUCUUGGGUCAAGAUAAGAACAUGUUGUUUAGUAUGUCUACGUGGAUGGUGUGUUGUUAGAUGUCUACAUCGGUAUGUAGAAGGAAGUUUUGCAAUAACAAGGUAUUAUGUUACAACCUCUGAUUGGCAACGUUCCUCAAAUAUGCUGGUUGUUGUAUCCUUGGACAUAUAAAAGCUUUUUCCAUGAUUUUUCUUUCUGCGGUUUCAUAAACUGAACAAUCUUCACGAUGCACAAAGGACUUUUCAUCUUGAAAUUGUACUUCCAUUGAAACUUUAUCCUGCAACCAUAUAUCAUAAAGAGAAUGGUGGGAGAAUCCAGCUGACAUUCAGUUAGAAAUUGAAAAGGAAAAUAUAGCACCUCAAGGAGCCAGAAUAAAAUAAAUCGGAGAAUUGGAUGAGCCAAAGACAAGCAUAUUCAGUAAGUCUUCUUAGCAAGUUAUGUUCUUUCCCUUUCAUAAUUUUUUAUCUACAUGUCACAUGGAGGUGCUCUUAGGUGUAUGGACUGUUGGGUAUCUUUGCCUUUCUUCCUGGUUCCAUAUUGAGAUUUAUAUGCAGCUGUUUCAUCUUCCAGUAUCAACAUUGCCUUCUUCAAAUUCAGUGACCGUUCCUGUAAAAAAUCCCUUCUAGAAUGUAAAUAUGCACCGCGUAGUAGUAGCAUAUGACAGAUCUAUUGGUAGUAGACCAUAAUGAAAAGCAUUAAGAACAACCCGGUGCAUGUAGCUCCCGUUUGCACAGGAUCCGGAGAAGGGUCCGUCCACUUUGGGUGAAAAGCAUUAUGAAUUAAAAUUUACAGGUGUGAAUACUCUGAUUCAAAAUAAUUACCAUCCAUUCCACAUAUUUGUACUAUUUGGAACAGUUGAUUUGUAAGUGUCCAAAAUGCAUAUAAUUUUAUUUUGUACGCUCAACCUAGAUAUUACUAGCUUUUUAGAAUUAAAUGGAACUACAUAGUGAUUUCAGCUUCUAAGCAAUAUAUUUAUGUGCCUAUCUAACUAAUUCCCCUUCUAUUUGAAUCACAGGAAAUAGAGAGUUUACCGGGAUUCUGGGAGAAAAUCUACAUGGCAUCAUGAGGAAAGAGGAGUUGAAGUACGGCAUGGGAUACUAAAUAGUGUAAAUUGUACUUCUAUUUUCUUCUUCAAUUGGAUCUUUCUCUAUGGACCAAUUUAUAUCGUAUACUGAAAUCAUGUUAUAUUAAGAAGUAUCAUGAUAGAGUUAGCUUGUCCAAUGAAUCGAUAUGUUUAACAAUGGGAAUUGGGAGGAUUAAUUAGUUGAAUUAAUGUUCUUCUUUUAACCUAUUAGAGAUCAAAUGGAUGAAACAAUAUACUAUUAUCUUUAUUACAUGGCAACAUGAUUCCACGCUGUUCA
rnacentral:lncRNA from 1 species